rnacentral:lncRNA from 1 species
AGGAAGGCAGGCUUGCCAGCCGUCCCCUGCCUCCUUGCCCUAGUCUCCAGUACUGCUCCAGCUGGCCUGUAACCUCCAGAAUCCUCCCACGGAUAUGCAGUGAGAAUGCAAAGAAAAUGGUAUUUGAAGAGGGAAAUUAAAAGGGUGAAGGACACUCAGAAUCCGGAAUAAAUCACAACAUGAGCCCAAAUAAGAGUCUGCGCAGCCUCUCCCUGCUCCUCUGCUUCGCACCGCUACAUGGGCCUGCUGCGCUGCUGCCCUGGACCUUGCCCCUGCC